rnacentral:rRNA from 1 species
UACGGAAGGGGCAAGCGUUGUUCGGAAUCAUUGGGCGUAAAGGGCGCGUAGGUGGUUCUGUAUGUCUACCGUGAAAGCAUACAGCUCAACUGUAUUUUGUCGGUAGAAACUGCAGGACUGAGGCUGGGAGGGGCUGGUGGAAUUCCCUGUGUAGCGGUGAAAUGCGUAGAGAUGGGGGGAGAACACUCGUGGCGAAGGCGGCCAGCUAGACCAGUUCUGACACUGAGGCGCGACAGCGUGGGGGAGCAAACAGG